rnacentral:rRNA from 1 species
UACAGAGGGUUCGAGCGUUAAUCGGAAUUACUGGGCGUAAAGCGCACGUAGGUGGCGACGUAAGUCGGGUGUGAAAGCCCCGGGCUCAACCUGGGAAUUGCAUUCGAGACUGCAUUGCUGGAGUACGGAAGAGGAGGGCGGAAUUCCCGGUGUAGCGGUGAAAUGCGUAGAUAUCGGGAGGAACAUCAGUGGCGAAGGCGGCCCUCUGGUCCAGUACUGACACUCAAGUGCGAAAGCGUGGGGAGCAAACAGG